CCGCACUCUGGUCUCAAGAGCUCGCCAGAAUGGUCGCCCACAGGUUCCACCAGUACCAGGUGGUGGGUCGCGCGCUGCCGACCCCCGGCGAUGAGCAGCCCAAGAUCUACCGCAUGAAGCUCUGGGCCACCAACGAGGUCCGCGCCAAGUCCAAGUUCUGGUACUUCCUGAGGAAGCUCAAGAAGGUGAAGAAGGCCAACGGCCAGAUGCUCGCCAUCAACGAGGUAUAUCACUUCUCUCC